rnacentral:rRNA from 1 species
GGCCGAGCCAUNAAAAAAUCCACUCACACCCCCCAAGCGCCCGGGUAUUACGAGCUUCAGCUUAAAACCCAAAGGACUUGACGGUAUCCCACCUAACUAGAGGAGCCUGUUCUAUAACCGAUGAUCCACGAUACACCUAACCAUUUCUUGCUUUCAGCCUGUAUACCUCCGUCGUAAGCUUACUAUGUGAAUAUAUAAUAGUGAGCUAGAAGGCCACCACCAUAACGUCAGGUCAAGGUGCAGCUUACGAAAUGGAAGCAAUGGGCUACAAUUUCUAAUUUAGAAUAAACGAAAUACUAUAUGAAAUAUAGUCAUAAAGGAGGAUUUAGUAGUAAAUAAGAAAUAGAGAGCCUUAUUAAACUCGGCCCUGGGAUGUGUACAAACCGCCCGUCACCCUCUUCAAUAACCUUCAACAAAUUAAUUAUCUACCCUUGUAUACUAGAAGAGGCAAGUCGUAACAUGGUAAGUGUACUAGAAAGUAUACUUGGAACAA